rnacentral:piRNA from 1 species
UUACCACUUGAGCAGCUCGUAGCCAGACU